UUCACGGUGUUUGCUCAGGACGAAGAAGGCAAAGGACUCGUUGGGUUCGCCGAUGUCCAGGUCAAUCUUCAGGAUAUCAACGACAAUGCUCCUCAUUUCUCACAGUCCGAGUACAUUGGAAACGUCACGGAGAACAGUCCUAAGGGAGUAUUGGUCAUCAAAAUCGAUGCAGAAGACAGCGACGAUCCAUUCGAAAAUGGUAAUGCAAAGAUAAAAUAUUCUAUUGAAAAGAACGCUAUUGAAGAAGGAACCGGGCUGCCAAUCUUUGAAAUCCAACCGAACACUGGCGAAAUAAAGACACUUAUCUGCUGCCUCGAUAGAGAGAAAACGUCUGACUAUUCAAUACAAGUAAUAGCAACCGAUGGGGCUGGUUUGAAAGGAACAGGUACCGUUACUAUCAGAGUACUGGAUAUCAACGACUCAGUGCCUGUGUUCACCAAGGAUGAGUGGGUGACAGAGGUAGAGGAGACAGUAGGUGACGUCAAGCCAGACAACGUCACACCAGUGUUAACAGUGGCCGUGCGCGACGGUGACGAAAACAACCGCUUU